GGCCUGGUAGCUCAGUUGGUUAGAGCGUUGUCCCAAUAUGGCCAAGGUUGCAGAUUCGAUCCCUGUUCAGGGCA